AUUGAACGCUGGCGGCAGGCCUAACACAUGCAAGUCGAGCGGAUGAAGGGAGCUUGCUCCUGGAUUCAGCGGCGGACGGGUGAGUAAUGCCUAGGAAUCUGCCUGGUAGUGGGGGAUAACGUCCGGAAACGGGCGCUAAUACCGCAUACGUCCUGAGGGAGAAAGUGGGGGAUCUUCGGACCUCACGCUAUCAGAUGAGCCUAGGUCGGAUUAGCUAGUUGGUGGGGUAAAGGCCUACCAAGGCGACGAUCCGUAACUGGUCUGAGAGGAUGAUCAGUCACACUGGGACUGAGACACGGUCCAGACUCCUACGGGAGGCAGCAGUGGGGAAUAUUGGACAAUGGGCGAAAGCCUGAUCCAGCCAUGCCGCGUGUGUGAAGAAGGUCUUCGGAUUGUAAAGCACUUUAAGUUGGGAGGAAGGGCAGUAAGUUAAUACCUUGCUGUUUUGACGUUACCAACAGAAUAAGCACCGGCUAACUUCGU
rnacentral:rRNA from 1 species